AUUUUUGUACAUUUCAAAGUUAUAUACUAACAAAAAUGCCUCCAUGUUAUAAAGUAGGUGAAAAUGCAUUUAUGAUGGGUAUAGAGAAUCCAAAUCAAGA